rnacentral:tRNA from 1 species
GGACCGUAGCGCAGAGGUCGUCGCGUCCGGCUCCAGAGGAUCGGAAGGACGCCGGUUCGAUUCCGGUCGGUUCACCA